CAGAAUGGUGGAAACCUGGAAUUGAUCCAGAUUGGCCUGAAAAGGAUGGUGUGAAUGGUCUCCCGGUUGAAUCCGGAA
rnacentral:snoRNA from 1 species